CCUACGGGAGACAGCAGUGGGGAAUAUUGGGCAAUGGGCGCAAGCCUGACCCAGCAACGCCGCGUGAAGGAAGAAGGCUUUCGGGUUGUAAACUUCUUUUAAGGGGGAAGAGCAGAAGACGGUACCCCUUGCAUAAGCCACGGCUAACUACGUGCCAGCAGCCGCGGUAAUACGUAGGUGGCAAGCGUUGUCCGGAUUUACUGGGUGUAAAGGGCGUGCAGCCGGAGAGACAAGUCAGAUGUGAAAUCCACGGGCUCAACCCGUGAACUGCAUUUGAAACUGUUUCCCUUGAGUGUCGGAGAGGUAAUCGGAAUUCCUUGUGUAGCGGUGAAAUGCGUAGAUAUAAGGAAGAACACCAGUGGCGAAGGCGGAUUACUGGACGAUAACUGACGGUGAGGCGCGAAAGCGUGGGGAGCAAACAGGAUUAGAUACCCGGGUAGUC
rnacentral:rRNA from 1 species